UACGUAGGGUGCAAGCGUUGUCCGGAAUUAUUGGGCGUAAAGAGCUCGUAGGCGGCCUGUCGCGUCGGUUGUGAAAGCCCGGGGCUUAACCCCGGGUCUGCAGUCGAUACGGGCAGGCUAGAGUUCGGCAGGGGAGACUGGAAUUCCUGGUGUAGCGGUGAAAUGCGCAGAUAUCAGGAGGAACACCGGUGGCGAAGGCGGGUCUCUGGGCCGAUACUGACGCUGAGGCGCGAAAGCCAGGGGAGCAAACGGG
rnacentral:rRNA from 1 species